CUCAGUCGGAGCGGAAGCGACGUGGAUCUGGUCCCGCACCUCCCAGACGAACCAGAGCUCUCAGAGGGUCCUUUUAAUCAAGAGCCCGUGGAGCCGACGGCCACGACCAUCGGAAGCCUCACCGUUACGGUAUCGGCCAAAUCGGGAGGGAUUAAAUGAGCGUCAGGAGGCGUUUUCGUGCCCGUCGGCAAUCAAGAGCGGAAUCUUCCGGUCCACGGCCUUGCUCUUCCCGGGGAAGAUCGCGUAUGAAUUUGGGGAGGACGCCGUCCUUCUCGACGAGAAAAGGAGCAGUUUCAACAAGGAGGAAAAGGGUCUCUCGGCGUCAUUAUUUUCACAUCUAGAACUUCUCGACCCCUCCCCGCGAGGACGGCCGCCUCAGAAGGACGUGGUGCGCAGCGAGGGCAAGUACAGUACUUUUGAUUUACGAUCACCGCCACGCCGCCUCCGGCCGAGAGCCGAACGAAGCCGUCACGGCCCGGGUGUCCUGAGCAUGCCGGGGAUGAGAUAGAGAGAACUAGGACGGAAAGAUUCCCUUCUCCCCGAAGUAAUCGUUAAGCGCUUAUAUUUUGUGCCGGACACCGUACUGCCUCUGGAGUUGAUACGAGCCAGUCGGGUUGGAUACCGUCUGUGAACCAUACGGUCUUCAUCCCCAUUUUAAAGAAGGAGGA